rnacentral:lncRNA from 1 species
AGUGAAGGCGGGAAAACUGCAGCGCGCGCGGCUCCUCGCCGAGCACUACGCAGACUCGUAUGGAGUAGCAUAUGGAGGACUGGCAGGUCUUCAGUGAUGAAAACCUAAAGAACUAAAGAGAGGACGCGGAAUUCUCCCGCUUUUGUUUUGUCGCCAAAAGGUCUAAAUUGCCAUUAUCUGAUAAAGUCCAUCAUCUCAUCAGUGCUCAUCUUUACACGCUCAGCAUCUCCAGAGCAGGCAACUGUCACCAUGGAGACACCGCCAUUCUUUUGCUCAUGUGAGGAGAUUAAAAGUGCUCUGCCCAUUACUGACUGGUACAAGCCCUGAGACUUGAAUGGAUGGACAGCCAUUAUGAGAAGAAGAAGAUACCUUUUUCAUUUAGACCAGCUUUUUCUUCAAGGCUGCUGCAAGAACAGAAGCUCACCUUUCCCACAGAAAAACCCUUGGAUUAUGACCAGGAGUUCAUCUACUGCUUUGAAGCCAUGUGUUCAUGGUGGAAUUUGAGAAAGAAGACAGCAGCAGGACUCACAGACAGCUGUGUCCUUAUUGAUUUGUUCCUGUGAGGCAGUAGCAGUUCAGCACUCACAAGGAAAACAUCUGAACAGUGACUCAAACAGGUCAGUGUGUAGCUGUAAAUCACCUAUAAAAUAUUUGUCUGUAUAAGUGUAGUAUUACUAUUUAAU